rnacentral:rRNA from 1 species
UACGAAGGGGGCUAGCGUUGCUCGGAAUCACUGGGCGUAAAGGGUGCGUAGGCGGACCUGCAAGUCGGGGGUGAAAUCCCGGGGCUCAACCCUGGAAUGGCCUUCGAGACUGCCGGUCUGAGUUCGAGAGAGGUGGGUGGAAUUCCGAGUGUAGAGGUGAAAUUCGUAGAUAUUCGGAGGAACACCAGUGGCGAAGGCGGCUCACUGGUCCGGUACUGACGCUGAGGUGCGAAAGCGUGGGGAGCAAACAGG